GAGUACGGCCGCAAGGUUAAAACUCAAAUGAAUUGACGGGGGCCCGCACAAGCGGUGGAGCAUGUGGUUUAAUUCGAUGCAACGCGAAGAACCUUACCUACUCUUGACAUCCAGAGAAUUUAGCAGAGAUGCUUUAGUGCCUUCGGGAACUCUGAGACAGGUGCUGCAUGGCUGUCGUCAGCUCGUGUUGUGAAAUGUUGGGUUAAGUCCCGCAACGAGCGCAACCCUUAUCCUUUGUUGCCAGCACAUUAUGGUGGGAACUCAAAGGAGACUGCCGGUGAUAAACCGGAGGAAGGUGGGGAUGACGUCAAGUCAUCAUGGCCCUUACGAGUAGGGCUACACACGUGCUACAAUGGCGUAUACAAAGAGAAGCGACCUCGCGAGAGCAAGCGGAACUCAUAAAGUACGUCGUAGUCCGGAUUGGAGUCUGCAACUCGACUCCAUGAAGUCGGAAUCGCUAGUAAUCGUAGAUCAGAAUGCUACGGUGAAUACGUUCCCGGGCCUUGUACACACCGCCCGUCACACCAUGGGAGUGGGUUGCAAAAGAAGUAGGUAGCUUAACCUUCGGGAGGGCGCUUACCACUUUGUGAUUCAUGACUGGGGUGAAGUCGUAACAAGGUAACCA
rnacentral:rRNA from 1 species